AAGAGGCGCUUUGUGAGGCGGGAUGCAGCUGCUGAAAUCUGACUAGAUCCAGCUGAAGAGAGAAGGGAGCAGGUGGGUCAACAACCCCGCUCGGGCCGUUCCCAGAAUAUCAGGCUGCAGCAGAGUCGGGCCUCGACCGCCACCUCCAAACACCCGCUUGACCCACAAACACUCAGGCACCUCUGCGAGCAGCCAGGGUCCUUGUGGAUUGAAGAGCAAUCAGGAAGUUCACAGUGCGCUUCACGGAAGGCACCUUUAGAAAAGGCACCAUGCUAGCAGAGGCCUAGCUAGCUUUGGCCACCAGCCGAUUUGCCAGCCAUCUUGACAGAAAACAGCAGCAUGUAGCAAGAUUCCAGUAGAGGUCAGACAGACAAGCCAGGCUCUUUGUGGCUUUGACGCCAGAGAAAACAUCUCUUGCGAAGAACGGUCCCAAUCGCUAGUGGCAGCGCUGAUCAGCGGGUAACAGCUAGCUGCUCAACAUAAGUACUUCAGCGUGCUAAUGCGAAAAGGUGGAGGUGGAGAGCGUCACGUGCCGAAAAUGUUCGAAAGAAGAAUUUCAAUCACCUCGGAUCUCAGCUUCCUGUCGCUGCGCUAUGCCUUCAACAGAUGUCCUCUUGAAACCAAGAGGCGCGGAGUGAAAGGGCCCCCCCGUGAAAACAGCCCGACAACAACUGCGGCUUCACGCUGUGGUCCUGGCAAGCCUCACGCUGGGGCGCAGCCAAUAGCCGGCGAAUGAAAAGACAACAGUUCGGAAGCGAGGCGCCCGGGAGGAGGAGCCGGAGGAGCGGCCCGGGCGCAAGCGACCUGACCGGCCCUGGCGGCGGCCUCGGCGCCAGUUGUCGCCGCUUUAAUCCUGCCGGCCGCGAUGAGGUCAUCGCGGCCGGCCCGCCUCGAUGGCUGGGGUGACCUCACCUAAACAAGCGGGGUACGCAAACAUGCCCAGGCAAGUGCCCGUAACGUGCUCGACUAGUGCACAGUAACGAGUAUGGGAAAUACAAUUCAAAAUUGUUAGACGUCGUCUUGGUCUCAAAUAUUCAACAGUUAACGGUUAUCGUGCCUUUUUGGGUCAUCCUGAAUUUUCAGCUGAAAGCCGAAUCUCCCGAACAUUUUUCAUAUUUACAGCAGUCGUCUUUUUAAAUGAUACACCAAUUACUUAAGUAGGCUAAAUGCUGUACUAGGAAAACACAAUACACUAGCUUACUGACUGCCAUUUCUGGAUGUAUUUCUUGUUGCUAGGCAGACUUCAUAGGGCUCAACCAUAACUGAGCCAUUGUCCGGGGGGGGAAUUGUCCAGUAGGUCGGUUCAUGUAUAUAUAUAUAUUGUAUAUACCAUCAUAUGUAGAGUACAGUGUAUUAACUUUUUUCACAUUCAUCGAUUUACCCACUAUCAUAAAUUUCAAAAUGUGUAGCUCUUUUACCAAGCAUUACUUAUUAUUAAUUAUUUAGUCAUUCUAAUUACAGUUCAUUACUUUUCGUAUGAAAUCCUACUAAAUUCACACGCACCAUGUAACAUAAGAUGUAAAGAAAUAUAAAUGACUGGACAAAUCUAAAAUGCAGAAAACAGCGCUUUUCGAGUGGAAUUGAUUUCUUUUUGACUUUUUCACAAGUGCAAAUUAGGAAAUAGGACUCCAUUUAAAUGUAUGGUGCGAAAGUCCCAUUUGGAAGUAAGCUGGGCACCAGGCUGAGCGGGUCAGCAGAACCUCAGAUUUUGGCCUCAGGAGAAGCACAAGGCGGAACCCCGUUUGGGGUUGCCAAUCACCAUGCCUUUUGACAGACUUUGCUGCCGUGUUGUUUGACAUUUGCGAUCACACGUUUUGCUUUUAGCGAGUUAAAAGCUCAGGAAGUCGGCCAAUCGGGCUCGAAGCAGCCGUUUUCGGCAAAUUACAGGGCACAAAAUUAGAAAGUCAGACAGAUUUUUUUUUUUUUGCCUCUGGGUGGAACGUGCUGUCAAAAUAUGAUGUCAAAGUUGUGUUUUUGUUUUUUGGGUCUUUUUGUACUGUGGACAGUUUAAAAAUAAAAAAGAAAAAAUCAGCCCCACACACCAGUUUCACCGAGCCACACAAAUGUCGGCGCACACGUUUGUUAUAACAAGAUGCAUGAAAAAGUCUCAAGGAAACUCUGCCCAAAACUGAACAGGAAGUCGGCCAUCUUGGAAUCAGCCGUUUUGAGCCAAUUACAGCGCUUGAUGAACUCGUACUUGGGAAUUUGCACAAAAAGAGGCCCAAUGCAAGCAGGUAUCCUAAAAAAAAAAAAAAAAGGCAUUAUUUACAUACACCAUCUAAUAUGAAAAGAGUAUGGCGGCAAAAUGAUCAUUUCGAGGAUUCGCCAUGAAAAAGCGUUAAUUGUGCCAGCUAGGCCCGUUCAUUUCUGCACAUUUCUGUACGUUAAAGGCAAAAUUCAUGAGGAAUCACUGAGUGUUUCGGCGAGCGGCUUGCUUCACAUACAGUACCAAUUAACUCGGUGUCAUAUAAACAACGGAAUCAUUUGCAUACUGUAUACUUUAUAUAGCAACGCUCCGUAUUGUGCUAAACAACAUUAGACCCUAAAGAGAUGAUAAACACAGAUGUACAUAAUGUAAGCGAAUGUACAGUAGAGUCACACGCGCGCACAUGCACACACACACAAAAACACAAACACAAACACACGCACGUGCAAUGGGAAAAUAAAGAGACACUUGCUCUUGUUGGCACCUCCUCCCAUCACACACACCGCCUCCACUCCUUCAUCCCAGCUGUCACAACUGCAACAACUCCACAAAUACACGACACACACACACGUUCACACUCGCUCACCCACACACACACACACACGUACUAACACACACACGCGCGCGCGCGCGCGUGCACAGCACUUUUCCCACUCACACCUUUUCCCGCUCGCAACGGCCGGCUCCAGUUGGUGCCCACUCGCGACGGCACAUUUGUGUGUCUUUGUAUGUUCGUGUGUGUGUGUGAGACAGAGACAGUGAGCGAGCGAGUGAAUGAGUGAAUGUGUGUGUGUGUGUGAGAGAGAGAGAGAGAGAGAGAGAGAGAGAGAGAGUGAAUGAGUGAGUUAGUGUGUGUGUGUGUGUCUGUGUGUGUGUGAGAGAGAGUGAGUGUGUGUACGUGAGAGUGAGACAGUGAUUUUGUAUGUGUGCGUGUGUGUGUGUGUGCGUGCGUGUGUGUGUGCGUGCGUGUGUGUGUGUGUGUGUGUUUGUGUGUGUGUGAGAGAGUGAGUAAGUGAAUUUGUGUGCGUGCGUGUGUGUGUGUGCGUGUGUGUGUGUGUGUCCGUGCGCGUGAGAGCGUGAGUGCGUGCGUGAGUCAGUGAUUUUGUGUGUGUGCGUGCCUGUGCGCGUGUUUCGGCGACAUCGCCAAAUGUUUCUUGUUCGCCCGGCAAACACCAUGUGUGAGGUCAUAAAUCCGAUCUCCACGGCAACACAAUCCGGCGACACCGACACUCCCAGGAAGCAUCACAGAUUAGACAGAUUAUUCGCGCUCGCCUCUCAAAUUGCACGAGACACUCCAUUUUUUUUCAGUAUAUAUUUUCCAUAUAUUUUUCUUAAUUAUAAUAUAUACUGUUCAUACCAUUCCAUAUUAGAGAUGAGUGAUGAGUGAAGUUUUUAAUUGUUAUAUUACUUAUUUAGAAAUAUUAUUAUUUAUGUAUUUAAUGGAGUCUUUUAAAAAAAUAACAAUAAUGAUGAUUUUAGUACUAUUUUUGCAUAUUUACUACAUUUUAAAAACUUGGUCACCGACACAUUUCAAAAGGAUCCCCAAGUAGAGAGCUUAUUCACGUUACUCCUCGACUUUCAUGAGAAACUUUGUUUUUGAAGAUUUUGUUUGGUUUUUGUAAGCACUUUAUUUAGGACGCUUUAAGAUUUUUGUAUUUGUAUGAUUAUUUGUUUCAAACAUAUAAUUAUUUUGAUAUUUAUUCUCUUCUUUUGAAGUUUUUUUAAUAAUAAUGAUAAUUAUAUCAUUAUGUUUACAUAUUUAUUACAUUUUGAAACAGUG